rnacentral:rRNA from 1 species
UACAGGGGGUGCAAACGUUGCUCGGAAUCAUUGGGCGUAAAGCGCACGUAGGCGGCAAUUCAAGUCAGCUGUGAAAUCUCCGGGCUUAACUCGGAACGGUCAGCUGAUACUGCUUUGCUAGAGUGCAGAAGGGGCAAUCGGAAUUCUUGGUGUAGCGGUGAAAUGCGUAGAUAUCAAGAGGAACACCUGAGGUGAAGACGGGUUGCUGGGCUGACACUGACGCUGAGGCGCGAAAGCUAGGGUAGCAAACGGG